CCUACGGGAGGCAGCAGUGAGGAAUAUUGGUCAAUGGCCGGAAGGCUGAACCAGCCAUGCCGCGUGAAGGUCAGUGCCCUAUGGGCGUUAAACUUCUUUUGUGCGGGAGCAAUAAUGGUCACGUGUGGCCAGACGAGAGUACCGUACGAAUAAGCAUAGGCUAACUCCGUGCCAGCAGCCGCGGGAAUACGGGGGAUGCAAGCGUUAUCCGGAUUUAUUGGGUUUAAAGGGUGCGUAAGCUGUGAGGUAAGUCAGCGGUGAAAUGCCCCCGCUCAACGGGGUGAAGUGCCAUUGAUACUGGCGUGCUGGAGUGCGGAUGCGGUAGGAGGAAUGUGUGGUGUAGCGGUGAAAUGCAUAGAUAUCACACAGAACACCGAUUGCGAAGGCAUCUCACGAAGCCGCGAUUGACGCUGAUGCACGAAAGCGUGGGUAUCAAACAGGAUUAGAUACCCCUGUAGUC
rnacentral:rRNA from 1 species